UGUGGUUUAAAGUGUAUCAAGUUAGCCCCUGUAGUUUCGUACUUUCUCACUUUAGUACCCUGUGAUUUAAAGUGUAUCAAGUUAGCCCCUGUAGUUUUACACUUUCUCACUUUAGUACCCUGUGGUUUAAAGUAUAUCAAGUUAGUAUCUUAUGGUUUCAUUUUUUCUCUUUUUAUUAUCCAUUUCACUAAUUUUUUUCGUUAAAUCAGUGACAAAGUUAAAAUUAAAGGAUGCUAAAGUGAAUAUUCGAUAAAUCUAGAUAGGGUAUCUGAAGUUUUUUGUAUAUAAUUUAACGAAAUAUUAACGGAGGAAAAAAAAAAUCAGUAACAAAGUUAAAACUAAGGGGUACUAAAGUAAAUAUUCGAUAAAUCUAGGUAGAUAUUUGAAGUUUUUUUGUAUAUUAACGGAGACGAAAAAAAAAAAAUGAAACCACAUGCUACUAAAUUGAUGCACUUUAAACCACGGAGUACUAAAGUGAGAAAAUGUAAAACCACGUGGUACUGAAUUGAUACACUUUAACUAUAAUGUAUUAAAGUGAAAAAUUAUGAAACCACAAGGGUGGUAUUUAAAGUUUUUCUUUUUUUUUAAAUGUGGAAAU
rnacentral:lncRNA from 1 species